rnacentral:rRNA from 1 species
GACGAACGCUGGCGGCGUGCUUAACACAUGCAAGUCGAACGGAAAGGCCCUGCUUUUGUUGGGUGCUCGAGUGGCGAACGGGUGAGUAACACGUGAGUAUCCUGCCCUUUACUUUGGGGUAACUUCAGGAAACUGGGGCUAAUACCUGAUAGGAGCUCCUGCUGCAUGGUGGGGGUUGGAAAGUUUCGGCGGUUGGGGAUGGACUCGCGGCUUAUCAGCUUGUUGGUGGGGUAGUGGCUUACGAAGGCCUUGACGGGUAGCCGGCCUGAGAGGGUGACCGGGCACAUUGGGACUGAGAUACGGCGCAGACUCCUACGGGAGGCAACAGUGGGAAAUAUUGCACAAUGGGCGGAAGCCUGAUGCAGAAACGCCGCGUGCGGGAUGACGGCCUUCGGGUUGUAAACCGCUUUCGCCUGUGACGAAGCGUGAGUGACGGUAAUGGGUAAAGAAGCACCGGCUAACUACGUG